rnacentral:misc_RNA from 1 species
UUAAGUUCAGCGGGUAUCCCUACCCGAUCCGAGGUCAACCUUGUGUAAAGUUUUAACGGCGCGCCCGGUCGUCCUCGCCAGCGAUUUGAUGUAACCACAACGCUGAGAUUCGAACCGUCCAGCCGAUCGAUUAGAGGCGCGGAGGGACUCCGUCGCCCAAUACCAAGCCAGGCUUGAGUGGUGAAAUGACGCUCGAACGG